GACGAACGCUGGCGGCGUGCUUAACACAUGCAAGUCGAACGGAAAGGCCCUGCUUUUGUGGGGUGCUCGAGUGGCGAACGGGUGAGUAACACGUGAGUAACCUGCCCUUGACUUUGGGAUAACUUCAGGAAACUGGGGCUAAUACCGGAUAGGAGCUCCUGCUGCAUGGUGGGGGUUGGAAAGUUUCGGCGGUUGGGGAUGGACUCGCGGCUUAUCAGCUUGUUGGUGGGGUAGUGGCUUACCAAGGCUUUGACGGGUAGCCGGCCUGAGAGGGUGACCGGCCACAUUGCGACUGAGAUACGGCGCAGACUCCUACGGGAGGCAGCAGUGGGGAAUAUUGCACAGUGGGCGGACGCCUGAUGCGGCAACGCCGCGUGCGGGAUGACGGCCUUCGGGUUGUAAACCGCUUUCGCCUGUGACGAAGCGUGAGUGACGGUAAUGGGUGAAGAAGCACCGGCUAACUACGUG
rnacentral:rRNA from 1 species